rnacentral:rRNA from 1 species
UACGUAGGGACCAAGCGUUGUUCGGAUUUACUGGGCGUAAAGGGCGCGUAGGCGGCGUGGUAAGUCAGUUGUGAAAUCUCCGGGCUUAACUCGGAACGGUCAACUGAUACUGCGCGGCUAGAGUGCAGAAGGGGCAACUGGAAUUCUCGGUGUAGCGGUGAAAUGCGUAGAUAUCGAGAGGAACACCGGUGGCGAAGGCGGGUCUCUGGGCCGUAACUGACGCUGAGGAGCGAAAGCGUGGGGAGCGAACGGG